rnacentral:rRNA from 1 species
UACAGAGGGUGCGAGCGUUAAUCGGAAUUAUUGGGCGUAAAGCGCGCGCAGGCGGUUUCUUAAGUCUGAUGUGAAAGCCCACGGCUCAACCGUGGAGGGUCAUUGGAAACUGGGGAACUUGAGUGCAGAAGAGAAAAGCGGAAUUCCACGUGUAGCGGUGAAAUGCGUAGAGAUGUGGAGGAACACCAGUGGCGAAGGCGGCUUUUUGGGCUGUAACUGACGCUGAGGCGCGACAGCGUGGGGAGCAAACAGG